UACGAAGGGUACAAGCGUUGUUCGGAAUUACUGGGCGUAAAGCGCGCGUAGGCGGACGCGUAAGUCGAUUGUGAAAUCCCUAGGCUUAACCUGGGAACUGCAGUCGAAACUGCGUGUCUUGAGUGCCUGAGAGGAUGGCGGAAUUCCCGGUGUAGUAGUGAAAUGCGUAGAUAUCAAGAGGAACACCAGUGGCGAAGGCGAGUCCCUGGACAACUUCUGACGCUGAGGCACGAAAGCUAGGGGAGCAAACAGG
rnacentral:rRNA from 1 species